rnacentral:rRNA from 1 species
AGCGGCGGACGGGUUAGUAACGCGUGGGAAUAUGCCCUUUGGUACGGAAUAGCCUCUGGAAACGGAGAGUAAUACCGUAUGAGCCCUUCGGGGGAAAGAUUUAUCGCCAAAGGAUUAGCCCGCGUUAGAUUAGGUAGUUGGUGGGGUAAUGGCCUACCAAGCCUACGAUCUAUAGCUGGUUUUAGAGGAUGAUCAGCAACACUGGGACUGAGACACGGCCCAGACUCCUACGGGAGGCAGCAGUGGGGAAUCUUGGACAAUGGGGGCAACCCUGAUCCAGCCAUGCCGCGUGAGUGAUGAAGGCCUUAGGGUCGUAAAGCUCUUUCGCCUGUGAAGAUAAUGACGGUAGCAGGUAAAGAAACCCCGGCUAACUCCGUGCCAGCAGCCGCGGUAAUACGGAGGGGGUUAGCGU